GCGGUGGAGCAUGUUGGUUUAAUUCGAAGCAACGCGAAGAACCUUACCAGGUCUUGACAUCCCGAUGCUAUUUCUAGAGAUAGAAAGUUACUUCGGUACACCGGUGACAGGUGGUGCAUGGUUGUCGUCAGCUCGUGUCGUGAGAUGUUGGGUUAAGUCCCGCAACGAGCGCAACCCCUAUUGUUAGUUGCCAUCAUUCAGUUUGGGCACUCUAGCGAGACUGCCGGUAAUAAACCGGAGGAAGUGGGGAUGACGUCAAAUCAUCAUGCCCCUUAUGACCUGGGCUACACACGUGCUACAGUGGUUGGUACAACGAGUUGCGAGUCGGUGACGGCGAGCUAAUCUCUUAAAGCCAAUCUCAGUUCGGAUUGUAGGCUGCAACUCGCCUACAUGAAGUCGGAAUCGCUAGUAAUCGCGGAUCAGCACGCCGCGGUCGAAUACGUUCCCGGGCCUU
rnacentral:rRNA from 1 species